rnacentral:miRNA from 15 species
GAGCCAGUGUCUGUUCUUGGCGGAUCCAUUUUGGGUUGUACCUCAUCCUAAAUUUGACGGUACCCGUAAUGUUUCCGCUGAGAACCGACUGUGCACC